UCGAUACAGGCAGCGCUGCGCCGCUCUCUUUUUUAUGGCGGGUAGCGGACUUGUUUGGAGGCACUCGAGGGGUUGUUUAUUAACUGGUUGAUCGCCUCAUUGAUGAAUAAAUGUGGGCUUUUCCGUUGUAAGGCGAGCCAUUGAUUGCUGAGGGGGAGGCUGAUCCGUGGAGCAGGAGUGGAGCGUUAAUACGUACCUCAUUGCUGAUGGGAAAUGAAGGACUAAUUAAAUAGGUUGAAUCUCCCUGAGGAGCUUUUAUUCAUUGCUUCUUAUUCUAGCCUCAGGUGCUAUGGAGAAUAAGUCAACACCAUCCCCUCAGUCUUUGUUAAGGGCCUCAGCAUCUUUUUUGUAUUGUGACCAGAACUGGAUGCAGUAUUUCCUGACAGUGAGAAUGAUAUUAAGCAAUGGAACAGCUUGCCUCCUGGAAUUUGGGUGCUCCAUCACUUGGAGGCUUUCAAAAAAAGAUUGGACAACCAUUUUGUCUGAGAUGGAAUGAGGACCUCUGCCUCUGGCAGGGAGUUAGCCUAAGACCUUGGAAGUCCUUCCAACACUGUGAUCCUAUAUUUGUUUCUGGAGUCAUGGUCUGAAUUAUCUGGAUGUUGAACCGCUGACAUGAAAUCAGUUGCACUUCACAGAGUAGUAAAUUGUGUUUAGCUGAAAUAUGAUAACCUUUAAUAAGAUUUCAAACUGAAUCCUAAGGUCUAAUAUAAAGACCUCAGAUAAUAGUUUCUACACUUUAGAGGAAAACAAGAAUAGUGCUGUAUUUUCAUCUAACGAAGUAUUGAAAAAUCAGAAUGAACACUGGCAGAGUUUAUAACUUUUAUUUGACUAUCCAAUAAUGCUCAGAGUAUGAGAAAAAAUAUGAAUGUCAGUUAUUAGCAUACAAAGGCAAAAUAAGAAUUGCAGCAGAAACCAGCAGCUAAAAUAUACAAGUUCUUUAUAAUAAACAGAAGAAUUAGAAAAGAGUUGUUGCCUGUCCAUUUAAGAACAUGUGGUUCUUAAAUUUCCUAAUUUGUCUUGAUAGUGUAAUUUUAUUUCAGAUGGCAAAGGAAAACAGCAAAAGAUAAAUAAUCUUCUUUGUGUAUUCCGUAUGGGAAAUGUAGACAAAAUCAUAAUGAAUUUUAAGGGAAAUUAAAGCUGAAUAGAGUG